rnacentral:rRNA from 1 species
GAUAAACGCUGGCGGCGUGCAUGAGACAUGCAAGUCGAACGAACGAGCUUGCUCGUUAGUGGCAAACGGCUGAGUAACGCGUAGGUGACCUGCCCUGAAGUGGGGGAUAACGGCCCGAAAGGGUUGCUAAUACCGCAUGUGGCGACGUUUUCAUUGACGUCAUCAAAGCCGCGAGGCGCUUCAGGAGGGGCCUGCGUCCGAUUAGCUCGUUGGUGGGGUAAUGGCUCACCAAGGCGACGAUCGGUAGGUGGUCUGAGAGGACGAUCACCCAGACUGGGACUGAGACACGGCCCAGACUCCUACGGGAGGUAGCAGUCGGGAAUUUUGCUCAAUGGGCGAAAGCCUGAAGCAGCAACGCCGCGUGAGGGAUGAAGGCCUUCGGGUUGUAAACCUCUUUUCUCAGGGACGAUGAUGACGGUACCUGAGGAAUAAGUCACGGCUAACUACGUGCCAGCAGCCGCGGUAAUACGUAGGUGACCAGCGUUGUCCGGAUUUACUGG